rnacentral:rRNA from 1 species
UACGUAGGGGGCUAGCGUUGUCCGGAUUUAUUGGGCGUAAAGAGCGUGUAGGCGGCCAGGUAGGUCCGCUGUGAAAGUCCGAGGCUCAACCUCGGAAUGUCGGCGGAAACCCUCUGGCUAGAGUCCGGAAGAGGAGAGUGGAAUUCCUGGUGUAGCGGUGAAAUGCGCAGAUAUCAGGAAGAACACCCGUGGCGAAGGCGGCUCUCUGGGACGGUACUGACGCUGAGACGCGAAAGCGUGGGGAGAAGACAGG